UCCCUUUACAGUUGUGAGUUUCCGUAUCCAAUGUUUGACCGUCUAUCUUAUUUAAAAAAUUUAUGAAGAAUAUUUUUUAAAAAAUAAGUCACACAUAAAGUAUUAUUCAUGUUUCAUCAUCUAAUAACAACAAAAAUACUAAUCAUAUUUUCUUUAAAUAAGAUAGACGGUCAAACAUUAGAUUUAAACAGU
rfam:Oryza meridionalis cultivar OR44 (W2112) chromosome 12, whole genome shotgun sequence.